AGAAAAUCAUUGUAUGGUUUGGCUACAAAAAGCCAAGAAAUGUAGGGAGUCUAACACAGAGGAACUUACUCCUGACUGGGCCAAACACAGAAAGCAAUCUGAUUGCAAGAGGAGUGAGGAAUUUGUCUCCAAAUUGUAGGAGAUCAACCAGAAUCGAGGUGAAGUAUGGCUGACUUGGCAAAAAUAUGGGUGUGACCAGGUCACCAGUCAGUCUGGCAGUGCGCAAGGAUUUGGGGUACAAAUCUUUUGUCCUUGAAAACCAACAACUAAUGACCAAAAAGAAUAAGAUCGAUCAGAAAAUGGUGCUAUAUAGUGGCCAUUACUAUAGUAAUGGUAAUAGUAGCAAUACUGCUGGUUUCUUGAGGUUUUCAGAUGAGAAGAAUUUCAUCCAGGAUUGGAAAGUAAAUCACCAGAAUGACUGAUG
rnacentral:lncRNA from 1 species